GGGUUGUUAGCUCAGUGGAAGAGCAUCUGACUUUUAAUCAGGGGGCCGCGGGUUCGAGCCCCGCACAACCCACCA
rnacentral:tRNA from 1 species